rnacentral:rRNA from 1 species
CCUACGGGUGGCAGCAGUAGGGAAUCUUUCACAAUGGGCGAAAGCCUGAUGGAGCAACGCCGCGUGCAGGAUGAAGGCCCUCGGGUUGUAAACUGCCUGUAUAAGCGAGAAAUAUGAUGGUAACUUAUGAAUAAGGAUCGGCUAACUACGUGCCAGCAGCCGCGGUCAUACGUAUGAUCCGAGCACUAUCCGGAGUGACUGGGUGUAAAGAGUUGCGUAGGUGGCAUAAUAAGUAGCUAGUGAAAUCUGGUGGCUCAACCAUUCAGACUAUUAGCUAAACUGUUAAGCUCGAGACCGUUAGGGGUAACUGGAAUGUCUAGUGUAGGAGUGAAAUCCGUAGAUAUUAGAAGGAACACCAAUAGCGUAGGCAGGUUGCUGGGACGGUUCUGACACUAAGGCACGAAAGCGUAGGGAGCAAACGGGAUUAGAUUCCCCUGUAGUC